rfam:Pan troglodytes isolate Yerkes chimp pedigree #C0471 (Clint) chromosome 21, whole genome shotgun sequence.
GAAAACAGUUUCUGAUGAAGCCUAUGUUGGUAGGGACAACUAAGGUUGUUGAUGAAUGCUAACAGCUCUAACACACACAC